AACGAACGCUGGCGGCGUGCUUAACACAUGCAAGUCGAACGGUGAAAGCGGAGCUUGCUCCGCUGGAUCAGUGGCGAACGGGUGAGUAACACGUGGGCAACCUGCCCCUCACUUCGGGAUAACUCCGGGAAACCGGGGCUAAUACCGGAUAUGACCUCCUUGGGCAUCCUUGGAGGUGGAAAGUUUUUCGGUGAGGGAUGGGCCCGCGGCCUAUCAGCUUGUUGGUGAGGUAGCGGCUCACCAAGGCGACGGCGGGUAGCCGGCCUGAGAGGGCGAGCGGCCACACUGGGACUGAGCCACGGGCCAGACUCCUACGGGAGGCAGCAGUGGGGAAUAUUGCGCAAUGGGCGAAAGCCUGACGCAGCAACGCCGCGUGCGGGAUGACGGCCUUCGGGUUGUAAACCGCUUUCAGCAGGGAAGAAGCCGCAAGGUGACGGUACCUGCAGAAGAAGCACCGGCUAACUACGUGCCAGCAGCCGCGGUAA
rnacentral:rRNA from 1 species